rnacentral:rRNA from 1 species
GCCUCUCGAUUAAUUAUAAGAGGUCAAGCCUGCCCAGUGACACUGUUUAACGGCCGCGGUAUCCUAACCGUGCGAAGGUAGCGUAAUCACUUGUCCUUUAAAUGAGGACUAGUAUGAAUGGCCCCACGAAAGCUAUGCUGUCUCCUUUAUCUAAUCAAUGAAACUAAUCUCCCCGUGAAGAAACGGGGAUGCAUCUAUAAGACGAGAAGACCCUAUGGAGCUUUAAACAUUAAGGCACUUGUAACACUAAAGUAAAAUUUCUGAAAACUUUCAUUUAACUUAUCAUUCUGCCUAAAGUUUUAGGUUGGGGCGACCACGGAGAAAAAAUCAACCUCCACGUAGAAAGAAACUUCUUUUCUAAGCAGAAAGCCACAUCUUUACGCAUCAACAUUUUGACCUCUUUUGACCCAAUUUUUUGAUCAACGAACCAAGUUACCCU